UACGUAGGUGGCAAGCGUUGUCCGGAAUUAUUGGGCGUAAAGCGCGCGCAGGCGGUCCUUUAAGUCUGAUGUGAAAGCCCACGGCUCAACCGUGGAGGGUCAUUGGAAACUGGGGGACUUGAGUGCAGAAGAGGAGAGUGGAAUUCCACGUGUAGCGGUGAAAUGCGUAGAGAUGUGGAGGAACACCAGUGGCGAAGGCGACUCUCUGGUCUGUACUGACGCUGAGGAGCGAAAGCGUGGGGAGCAAACAGG
rnacentral:rRNA from 1 species